rnacentral:rRNA from 1 species
GGGCCCGCACAAGCGGUGGAGCAUGUGGUUUAAUUCGACGCAACGCGAAGAACCUUACCUACACUUGACAUCCUCGGAACUUUCUAGAGAUAGAUUGGUGCCUUCGGGAACCGAGUGACAGGUGCUGCAUGGCUGUCGUCAGCUCGUGUCGUGAGAUGUUGGGUUAAGUCCCGUAACGAGCGCAACCCUUAUCCUUAAUUGCCAGCGGUUAGGCCGGGAACUCUAAGGAGACUGCCGAUGACAAAUCGGAGGAAGGUGGGGACGACGUCAAGUCAUCAUGGCCCUUACGUGUAGGGCUACACACGUGCUACAAUGGCCGGUACAAACGGUUGCGAACCCGCGAGGGGAAGCUAAUCCGAGAAAGCCGGUCGUAGUCCGGAUUGGGGUCUGCAACUCGACCCCAUGAAGUCGGAAUC